rnacentral:rRNA from 1 species
CAGCAGCCGCGGUAAUACGUAGGUGGCAAGCGUUGUCCGGAAUUAUUGGGCGUAAAGGGCUCGCAGGCGGUUUCUUAAGUCUGAUGUGAAAGCCCCCGGCUCAACCGGGGAGGGUCAUUGGAAACUGGGAAACUUGAGUGCAGAGGAGGAGAGUGGAAUUCCACGUGUAGCGGUGAAAUGCGUAGAGAUGUGGAGGAACACCAGUGGCGAAGGCGACUCUCUGGUCUGUAACUGACGCUGAGGAGCGAAAGCGUGGGGAGCGAACAGGAUUAGAUACCCCCGUAGUCCCUGUCUCUUAUAC